GCCACUAUAAGCGUCGUUGUGGCAUAAAUGAUUGCCAAAAAUCACACCACCAAUUGUUGCACAAAACACUCGCGACGCCAUCCCAGGAACAGAACCGAACAUUACCCACACACGAUAUGGAGCCACGAACGAACACCCCACCUCUACCCGACGCACCACCGUCUCAAACAGAACGAAGAAAUUGUCAUGCCGCCCACUACACCGAAAACGUACUGUUCCAAAUUUUGCCCGUGACGCUAUAUGGAACACACAAACAAAUAACGACGUACGUGUUCAUUGACGACGGCGCCAAUGUGUCCAUGCUGGACGAGGACGUUGCUCGCGAACUCGGAGAACACGGGAAACCGGAGAUUUUAGAAAUUCAGUGGCUUAAUAACCAAAACAUAAACGAAAAAACUGAAAAAAUUAAUUUGACAAUUAGUGGUGUCGUUCCCUUGGAAGCUCCUCGUAUGAUGACCGAUGUUGGACCAAUCAUUACACUAACGAGAUUAGGCGCCGUAAUAUAUGGACUGAUCCCAGGCGAGAAGAGUUCCAAUCUUAAGCGGGCUUUACACGUUAGGAAACGUUUCGAGGAAGAAAAUUGUGACUUGCUUCAGGAAAUGCAUACCAUGAUGCGGCAAUAUUUCGACGUGGAGACAUUGGGUACCAAGGGAAUUUCCUGUAGCCGUGUGCGGAGAUAUACAUGAGAUGUUCCACCAAAUUGUAAUCGCCAAAGAAGAUCAGGACAGUCAGCGAUUUCUAUGGAGAAAUGGGGAUCCCAGUCAACCCUUAGAAACUUAUGUAAUGGAACGGAUGAUUUUUGGAGCCACUUGUUCGCCCACCAUAGCCCAAUAUGUGAAAAACCUAAAUGCCCGAAGGUUUAUAAACGAGUCGCCAAGAUCAGUACAAGGAAUCAUCGAUCGUCAUUACGUAGACGAUUACGUCGACUGUUUCCAGACUGAAGGUGAGGCCGUUGAAGUGGUACGUGAUGUCAUAAAAAUUCACAAAGAGGGUGGAUUUAAUCUCCGCAACAUCAAGUCUAAUUCCCCUGUUUUACAACGUAUGUUUGGCAACCCUAUUUCUGAUGAAAGUGAUGGCAACUCCCUUCUUGAUGAUGGAAUGGAACGGGUACUCGGUAUUCAUUGGCUGCCAAAAUCAGAUGUUUUUUGUUUUGAAUUAAAAUUGCACAAAGUGAAUGAAAAAAUAUUGAAAUUGCAAAAAGUGCCAACGAAACGCGAAAUGUUGUCUUUAAAUAUGUCCGUAUUCGAUCCAUUCGGGUUUCUUGGUGAUUUUAUGGUAACGUCAAAGAUAAUAAUCCAAAAUGUGUGGAAAAGUGGUAUAAAGUGGGACGAGGAGUUGCCGGCCGCGAUUUAUAGCCGCUGGAAGAUCUGGCUGGAGGAAUUGCCGAAAUUAAAGGAUUUCAAAGUUCCGAGGUGUUACAGUGAUGGAUUUUUUUAAUGGUAUAGUAGAUUUACAUGUGUUUGUGGAUGCCAGUGAAGAUUCAAUGGCUGCUGUGGCAUACUGGCGUAUAGUAACAAAUUGUGGUGUAAGUGUUGUGUUCGUUAUGGGCAAGACGAGCUGUGCCCCAACAAGAUACCAUACUAUACCUAAGCUUGAGUUGCAAGCAGCAGUAAUUGGAGUGCGAAUGAAGGAAAAAAUUUUGGAAAAUCAUUUGAAGAAUAUUAAUAACAUUUAUUUUUGGUCAGAUUCCUCAACAGUGAUAAGUUGGAUCCGUUCAGAACACCGUACAUACAAACAAUAUGUGGCAAAUAGAGUGUCGGAGAUUCUGGAAAGCAGCCGUAUGGAGCAGUGGCGGUGGUGUCCAGGAGCGGAAAACCCAGCUGACGAAGGGACCCGUGCUAAAAUACCCAAAUAGUACCAGCCAGAAGAACGCUGGAAAAAUGGGCCAGAAUUCCUGAGAAAAGAAGAGAAAUAUUGGCCGAGGGACAAAUUGGAAUCUGUGUGGAUCACAGCAAAACAGAGAUAAGAAACAAAUACAAAGUUUUGGUGGCUUGCCAGGUAUGUUUUUGUAUUCCAGAUAUUAAUAGAUUUUCAAAAUAUCGUAGGCUGAAACGGGCAAUGGCGUGGACAUUCCGAUUCGUUGAAAAUAUGAAGAGGAAAUCAGUGGUGUCGGGUGAUUUGAAGAAGAAGCACGGGCAGAAAUGUAUCUCUGUCGCUGCGUACAGCAAGAAGUAUAUGGGGAUGAAAUUCUUGACAUACAGAGAACUGGAUCAGUGUCUGCCAACAGCUCCAUAAAGUCUUUAAAUCCACAAAUUGGAAGUGAUGGUUUGCUUCGGGUAUCUGGAAGAAUAGAAAAUGCUCCUUUUUUGUCCCUGGAUACCAGACGACCAAUAAUUCUACACAAAGUUCAUCGUUUUACACUUUUGCUGGUGGAAUUUUACCAUUCUCGUUUUUGUCACAUAAAUGUUUGCCACUACAAUGAGCAAAAUUCGUGUGCGAUUUUGGAUUCCGUAACUCCGUCAACUUCUAAGAAGCGUUCAGUCCCGAUGUCUUGUCUGCAAGAUUCGUAGGGCCAAACCAAUUCAACCUCAAAUGGCCCCGUUACCCUUGGAACGUGUCACACCUUAUGUCAGAGCCUUUACCUACACAGGACUUGACUAUUUUGGUCCUGUAACAGUGUCAAUCCGGAGACAACGAGAAAAGAGGUGGGUGGCACUGUUUACAUGUCUUACAGUUCGCGCUGUCCACUUGGAAAUUGCAACAGACCUGUCGAGUGAUUCCUGCCUAAUGUGUAUUCGGAACUUCAUCAAUCGAAGAGUCCCAGAGAUGACAAGAAGCGACAAUGGGACGAAUUUCGUUGGCAUAGCAAAGGAGCUGCAAGGUAUAACCAAUUUUUUAGACACUAAUUCCGUUUCUUCUGGUCUGACAGCUUUUGGAAUAAAAUGGGUCUACAAUACGCCAGUGAAUCCCAGCGAAGGCGGAGUAUGGGAGCGUCUUGUCCAAUCUGUUAAGAAGGCUCUUUACAUCAUGCUAAAGGAGCAAGCCCCAAAACUGGAGACUCUACAAGCGUUCCUGAUUGAAGCGGAGAAUAUGGUCAACAGCAGGCCACUUACACAUUUGCCAGUUACUCCAGAAGACCCAGAUCCAUUGACUCCAAACCACUUUCUGCUAGGAUGUACCAAUUCAACCCAGAAUUCAACCAGCACCGUUUGAGCCUAGACUGAUGUGUUUAAGGAAGCAGUGGCGCGUCACCCAAAAUUUGAAGAAUGGCAUGUGGCAUCAGUGGCUUCGGGAAUAUCUUCCAGAAUUAACUCGAAGAACAAUAUGGUGUCUUUCUUCUCGGUCGUUGGAUGUUGGUUGCCUUGUGUUUGUUUGUGAUCCAGAGAUGGCUCGGAAUCAAUGGAGACGUGGACGAGUCAUCGAAGUAUUCAGGGGCAAAGACGGAGUGGCACGAUCAGCCAAGGUGAGAACGAGUGCCGGUGUAUACCACAGACCUGUGCCCAAACAUGCCAUUUUGGACGUUGGAGACGGAGUUGGUGAAGCCUCCCCCUCUGGGUCAGUUCACGGGGGUGGGGAUGUUGGAGAUGGUAACCCUGCAAUUACCAAAGCUAAAAAAGUGUAGCCAAAUUUGAAAUACCACUGUCAUAAAUGGCCGAAAUAUCCCAAGCGAAGAGGGAGACGAAACUAAAUUUAAGCCAACAUCUUCAUUUUGUUUGUUUUUGUUGUUUUGCUUAAUGUCACUUUUUAUAUAAAUAGGCCCUUCUGGCCAUUGUUUAUUCCCUUUUUUGUUAGAACCCAAAAAUAAAGAAUAAACAACGACAACUAAACUCACUAUUUGUAAACAAAUGUGGGUAAACGCAGCUAUUUUUAUUUUGCCGAAAUCCUGCCAGUCUUGUCAUUUGGGAGCCAGCCGAGUUUAGGUUUAUUCCUGGAAAAUAACAAAAAAAGGAC